GCUGGAUGCAGUGGUGUGCACCUGAAGUCCCAGCUACUUGGGAGGCUGAGAUCGGGGGUUGUUUGAGCCCAGAAUUUGAGAACAGCUUGGGUAACAUAGUGAGACUCUGUCUCAA
rnacentral:sRNA from 1 species